ensembl:lncRNA
UCCCACAUCCGCUGCCGGUACCGGAGCUGCCGACAUUCCUGAGCCUCUCGUGAUCCGGGAACACACUUGCCAGGAUCCUCCUGUCCAGCUGGAACGCCACUUCCCCUACGAGCUCCCUCCAUGUGGGAUUCCGGGUCCCUGUGCCCCAUAGGUGGGUUAACCCCAAUGUCCAUCAGGUACCAGCUCUAUGGCCCUGAACCCCCAUAUGUGGGUUAACCCCAAUCACCCCCAUCAGGUACUGGCUCUAUGUCCCUAACCCCAUAUAUGGGUUAACCCCAUUGUCCAUCAGGUACCGGCUCUAUGACCCUGAACCCCAUAUGUGGGUUAACCCCAUUGUCCAUCACCCCCAUCAGGUACCGGAUCUAUGGCCCAAACCCCAUAUGUGGGUUAACCCCAUUGUCCAUCAGGUACCGGAUCUAUGGCCUUAACCCCAUAUAUGGGUUAACCCCAUUGUCCAUCAGGUACUGGCUCUAUGGCCCUGAACCCCCAUAUAUGGGUUAACCCCAUUGUCCAUCACCCCCAUCAGGUACCGGAUCCAUGACCCUGAACCCCAUAUGUGGGUUAACCCCAAUCCCAUCACCCCCAUCAGGUACCGGCUCUAUAGCCCUGAACCCCCAUAUAUGGGUUAACCCCAUUGUCCAUCAGGUACCGGCUCUAUGGCCCAAACCCCAUAUGUGUUUAACCCCAUUGUCCAUCAUGUACUGGCUCUAUGUCCCUAACCCCCAUUGGCUCUCACCAGGUGACCCCGGUCUCGGCUCCGGCUCCGUCACCUCCAUGUCCGGUUGUUGUUGUACAGCCGGAGCCUCCGGUGGGGUCGGGGCCGGGGGGGUCACCGGAGGUCGCGGCCACAGCUCCGACAGCCUCAAGGUCCCAGUGCUGAGCUCCAGACCAGAGGAACCGGAACUGGUGUUGAACCGGUUGAUGGGGCAGGACAGGCGGAGGCUGCUGGAGACUGGGGCACCGCCGCUGCUCAGGUCACUGUUCACGGCACUGGCUCCGGUGCUGUCGGUGCCGGUGGAGGCCAAUGGGGGUGGAGCAAAAGUCCCAUCCUGGGACCGCAGGUUGAGGUCCCAUGGGGAGCUCUGCUGGAGAGGAGGCAGCUCCGGAGCUGUGGUCAUGUGGUUAGAGUUAGGGUUAGGAUUAGGGUUAGGGUAACCCUAACCCUAAUGGCACAACCAUAACCCCUGUGCCAACAUCACCAUAACCCCCAUGCCAACACCACCACAAUCCCUGUGCCAACAUAACCACAACCCCUGUGCCACCACCACCACCAUAACCUCUAUGGCACCAUCACCAUUACCCCUGUGCCACCAUCACCAUAACCCCUGUGCCACUACCACAACCAUAACCUCUAUGGCACCAUCACCAUUACCCCUGUGCCACCAUCACCAUAACCCCUGUGCCACCACCACCACCAUAACCUCUAUGCCACCACCACCAUAACCCCUGUGCCACCAUCACCAUAACCCUUAUGCCACCAUCACCAUAACCCCUGUGCCACCAUCACCAUAACCCCUGUGCCACCAUCACCAUAACCCCUGUGCCACCACCACCAUCACCAUAACCCCCAUGCCAACACCACCACCACCACAACCCUUAUGCCACCACCAUAACCCCUGUACCACCACCACCAUAACCAUAUCCCCUAUACCACCACCAUAACCCCCUACCAGAGAACGGAAAGUAUCCGGUGUUGGCGCCCAGCGGCGGUGCCGAUCCCGGCACACUGCGUUGGCCCUGCCGGCCCUGCCGCUGCUCCUGCAGCCUCCCCACGGCUCUUGCCAGCUCCUCAUUCUCUGCCAGCAGGGCCUGGAUCUCCCGGCGCAGCCGGUCAUAGCAGGCCAGCACCGUGAGCCCUGCGCGCUGCACCGGCUCCAUGGCUCUGCCUGUUGGUGACUAUGGUGGCACCAGAACCAGAUGGAACCUGGGGGGGCAGGGACACGGGUUCUAUGGUGAUGUCAUAAAGGGGAUGGUGCCACCAUGGCCUAUGGUGGAUGCUGUGCUUGGCAUUGCCAUAGAGCUGUGCUUUGGUGAGCACUGGUUCUAUGGUGAUGCCAUAAAGGGGAUGGUGCCACAUCAUGCUGUGGUUGGCAUUGCCAUAGAGCUGUGUUCUGGUGAGCACUGGUUCUAUGGUGAGCACUGGUUCUAUGGUGAUGCCAUAAAGGGGAUGUUGUCACCAUCACCCAUGGUUGAUGCUGUGGUUGGCAUUGCCAUGGAGCUGUGUUCUGGUGAGCACUGGUUCUAUGGUGAUGCCAUAAAGGGGACGGUGUCACCAUCACCCAUGGAUGCUGUGGUUGGCAUUGCCAUAGAGCUGUGCUAUGGUGAGCACUGGUUCUAUGGUGAUGCCAUAAAGGGGUCAUUGCCACCAUGACCCAUGGAUGCUGUGGUUGGCAUUGCCAUGGAGCUGUGUUCUGGUGAGCACUGGU